rnacentral:rRNA from 1 species
UACGUAGGGUGCAAGCGUUGUCCGGAAUUAUUGGGCGUAAAGAGCUCGUAGGCGGUUUGUCGCGUCUGCUGUGAAAACUCGGGGCUUAACCCCGGGCCUGCAGUGGGUACGGGCAGACUAGAGUGCGGUAGGGGAGACUGGAAUUCCUGGUGUAGCGGUGAAAUGCGCAGAUAUCAGGAGGAACACCGGUGGCGAAGGCAGGUCUCUGGGCCACUACUGACGCUGAGAAGCGAAAGCAUGGGGAGCGAACAGG